AUUGAACGCUGGCGGCAUGCUUUACACAUGCAAGUCGAACGGUAACAGGGUGCUUGCACCGCUGACGAGUGGCGAACGGGUGAGUAAUGCGUCGGAACGUGCCGAGUAGUGGGGGAUAACGCAGCGAAAGUUGUGCUAAUACCGCAUACGUACUGAGGUAGAAAGUGGGGGACCUUCGGGCCUCACGCCAUUCGAGCGGCCGACGUCUGAUUAGCUAGUAGGUGAGGUAAAGGCUCACCUAGGCGACGAUCAGUAGCGGGUCUGAGAGGAUGAUCCGCCACACUGGGACUGAGACACGGCCCAGACUCCUACGGGAGGCAGCAGUGGGGAAUUUUGGACAAUGGGCGAAAGCCUGAUCCAGCCGUGCCGCGUGUCUGAAGAAGGCCUUCGGGUUGUAAAGGACUUUUGUCGGGGAGGAAAUCCCCAGCGCUAAUACCGCUGGGGGAUGACAGUACCUGAAGAAUAAGCACCGGCUAACUACGUGCCAGCCGCCGCCGUAACAC
rnacentral:rRNA from 1 species